rnacentral:ncRNA from 1 species
UCGCCCACAAUCUGUUCAAACGGUUUCAACACGGAUGUAUUCGGGCGCGCUGUGAAAAAGCGGCGUGUUUCGAGUGGUCGGCUUUGAGUCGAAGCUCUCAUUGGGGCAUCCUUGUUGGGAUCGUUCUUCGAGUGUCAGUCAUUCGAAAACAUCCCACGUUUGGUCUCCUCGCGCUAACCCCGUAGCGUGUGGUUUUUAGCGGGCUCCAGGCCCGCUUUUUUUU